CGGCGGCCAUAGCGAGAGGGAAACGCCCGGUCCCAUUCCGAACCCGGAAGCUAAGCCUCUCAGCGCCGAUGGUACUGCAGGGGCGACCCUGUGGGAGAGUAGGACACCGC
rnacentral:rRNA from 1 species